rnacentral:rRNA from 1 species
AUUGAACGCUGGCGGCAUGCCUUACACAUGCAAGUCGAACGGCAGCACGGGGGGCAACCCUGGUGGCGAGUGGCGAACGGGUGAGUAACAUAUCGGAACAUACCCUAGAGUGGGGGAUAACGUAGCGAAAGUUACGCUAAUACCGCAUACGAUCUAAGGAUGAAAGUGGGGGAUCUUCGGACCUCAUGCUCAUGGAGUGGCCGAUAUCUGAUUAGCUAGUUGGUGAGGUUAAAGGCUCACCAAGGCGACGAUCAGUAGCUGGUUUGAGAGAACGACCAGCCACACUGGAACUGAGACACGGUCCAGACUCUACGGGAGGCAGCAGUGGGAAUUUUGGACAA